rnacentral:misc_RNA from 1 species
GUUGAUUAUGUUACUUGUUUUUUAGGUUAUAAUUUGGGGCCGUGAUUAGCAAUCAUAUUCAAUGGUGUUUUAGUGUUGGAUGAUAGAAUUGAGGUUUUGAUUGUGUAUAUUAUUUCCUGGUUUCAUCUUUAUAUACUCCUGAGGCAUGGCGGGGAUUGAUAUUUCAAAAUAUUUCCAUAGUCCUGUGCACAAGGCCAUUGCAACGAGAGAUUAUGCCAGUCUCAGGAAGAUACUUGCUGGCCUUCCACGACUUUGUGACCCCGCUGAGAUUCGGACAGAGGCNUGGUCGAGGAAGAGAACGCUGAUGCCAUCUCUGCUGUGGUUGAUAGGCGUGAUGUCCCAAACCGUGACACUCCUCUUCACUUGGCUGUCAAAUUGGGAGAUGAGACUGCAACCGAGAUGCUUAUGGUUGCUGGUG